rnacentral:rRNA from 1 species
AGCGAACGCUGGCGGCAGGCCUAACACAUGCAAGUCGAACGAACCUUUCGGGGUUAGUGGCGGACGGGUGAGUAACACGUGGGAACGUGCCUUUAGGUUCGGAAUAACUCAGGGAAACUUGUGCUAAUACCGAAUGUGCCCUUCGGGGGAAAGAUUUAUCGCCUUUAGAGCGGCCCGCGUCUGAUUAGCUAGUUGGUUGAGGUAAUGGCUCACCAAGGCGACGAUCAGUAGCUGGUCUGAGAGGAUGAUCAGCCACAUUGGGACUGAGACACGGCCCAAACUCCUACGGGAGGCAGCAGUGGGGAAUCUUGCGCAAUGGGCGAAAGCCUGACGCUGCCAUGCCGCGUGAAUGAUGAAGGUCUUAGGAUUGUAAAAUUCUUUCACCGGGGACGAUAAUGACGGUACCCGGAGAAGAAGCCCCGGCUAACUUCGUG